UACGAAGGGAGCUAGCGUUGUUCGGAAUCACUGGGCGUAAAGCGCACGUAGGCGGAUGUGUCAGUCAGGGGUGAAACUCCCGGAGCUCAACUUCGGAACUGCCUUUGAUACAGCACAUCUGGAGUCCGGAAGAGGUGGGUGGAAUUCCUAGUGUAGAGGUGAAAUUCGUAGAUAUUAGGAAGAACACCGGUGGCGAAGGCGGCCCACUGGUCCGGUACUGACGCUGAGGUGCGAAAGCGUGGGGAGCAAACAGG
rnacentral:rRNA from 1 species